rnacentral:rRNA from 1 species
UGACCUCAGGCUAGACGUGGCAACCUGCUGAAUUUAAGCAUAUUAGUCAGUGGAGAAAAUGGAACUAACCAGGAUGCCCUUAGUAAAGGUAAGUGAACAGGCAUCCCAGUGCCAAAUCCCUGCCCCUUGGUGGGGUGAGGGAAAUGUGGCGCAUGGAAGACUCACUCACCAGUGCCACUUGUUGGGGCCCAAGUCCUGAUUGAGGCAGCCAGCCUGUGGAAGGUGUGAGGCCAUUAGCAGCCCCUGGCUGCCAGGCCUGGGUCUUCCCAGAGCCGGGUUGCUGGGAAUGCAACCUCAAGCUGGUGGCAAACUCUAUCUAAGGUUAAAUACUGCAGGAGACCGCAAUAAUCAACAAGUACUGUAAGGGAAAGUUGAAAAGAACUUUGAAGACGCAGUUCAAGAGGGCAUGAAACCAUUAACACUUACAUGGGUGGGGUCCCUGCAGUCUGAUGGAGGAUGCAAACCGGCGGUGGGUCAGGCUGUGCCAGUGAUCUGGCGGAUCUUUCCUGCCUUCAGUUUCUCCUGACCCCUCCAAUUGCCUUCCCUCCCCGGUAACCCCUCCUCCUCCUGGGAGGCCCCAGUGCGUGCAGGGGUGGGCCCGGGGUCGGGGAGAGCGGACUGUCCCCCAGCCGGGGAAUGGCUGCCUCUGGGUGUAUUUCCACUGUGAUGCUGCCCCGUGACUGUCUCUGGGAAGAUGGGAAGACCCGACAGUGAAGGUGGCUCAGGGAGGCCCUGUCCUCCCUGUCCCUCAGGAGGGGUGUGGGGUGGAUCCUCCCCCCGAGUGUUUCACCCCCCAGCAGUAGCACUCCCCGAAUCCCGGGGCUGAAGGAGUGAGACCCGUUACCGUGUUCUCCGCCUCCUGGCGCCCACCCCAGUGGGGCCCCCCUAUGAGGAGGUCGCCCGUAGGGGCAUAACAGCAUGCCUCUAGGGGACUGGGCCACCUCUCCCACGGUGUAACUGCUCUCCUACCCCCUCCCUGCCCCAAGCGAGUAGGCUGCAUGGGAGGGUCUGGGACUCACUGUGAUGUGCUCCAGGCGGGUUGUGCUGUCGGGCCUGGGGGGUCUCUUAAAGCCAGGCACUCAUUUCAAAAGAACAGUGGAACUAGUGCACAAGGUAGGUGGUGCUGUCGGUNNNNNNNNNNNNNNNNNNNNNNNNNNNNNNNNNNNNNNNNNNNNNNNNNNNNNNNNNNNNNNNNNNNNNNNNNNNNNNNNNNNNNNNNNNNNNNNNNNNNNNNNNNNNNNNNNNNNNNNNNNNNNNNNNNNNNNNNNNNNNNNNNNNNNNNNNNNNNNNNNNNNNNNNNNNNGCUUUCGCCCACUGCGCUGGGCGGGUGGAGCAUGAAUGCAUGUGUUAGGCACCAAAAGAUGAUAAACUAUGCCUGGGCAGGGCGAAGCCAGAGGAAACUCUCGUGGGGGUCUGUAGUGGUCCUGACAUGCAAGUCGGUCGUCUGAUCUGGGUAUAGGGGCAAAAGACUAAUGGAACUAUCUAGUAGCUGGUUCCCUCUGAAGUUUUCCUAAGGAUAGCUAGUGCUCUCGCAAAAACCCCAUGCCAUGCAGUUAUUUGGUAAAGCGAAUGAUUUGGGGUCUUGGAGUCGAAAUGAUCUCAACCAAUUCUCAAACUUUAAAUGGGUUAGAAGACCAGCUCAAUGGUGUGGAGCCAGAUACGGAAUGUGAGUGCCUAGUGGGCAACUUUUGGUAAGCAGAACUGAUGCUGUGGGAUGAACGAAAUGCCAUGUUAAGGUGCCUGAUUCUGAUGCCCAUUAGACCCCAGAAAAUGUGCUGGUUGAUAUAGAGAGCAGGACGGUGGGCAUGGAAGUCAGAAUCCGCUAAGGAGUGUUUAACAACAACAAAUCAACUAGCCCUGAAAAACGGAUGGUACUGAAACAUUGGGCCCAUACCCGGCUGUUGCCAGCAGUUGAGAGUGGAUGGGAGUGGUGAGGGUGGUCACCCCCGCUGGAGCCCUGUGGAUGCUGGGAGGGCUGCUGCGGUGAGCCCUGAAGCCUUGGACGUGAGCCUGGGUGGAGCUGCUCCAGAUGCAGAUCUUGGUGGUAGUAGCAAAUAUUAAAAUGAGAACUUUGAAGGCCGAAGUGGAGAAGGGUUCCAGUUGAACGUGGGUCACUUGCUCCUGAGACAUGGGCAAGUACCAUUCCGAAGGGAUGGAUGAUGACUUCCAUUGCCCCCGGCUGAUGGAAAGGGAGUCAAGUUCAGAUUUCUGAAUCCGGAGUGACAGAGAUGGGCACUAUGAGGCAUUCAGGGAGGUAAUGGAACUGAUUCUGGAGAAACUGGUGGGAGCCCAGGGGAGAGCUCUUUUUGUGAAGAGCAGGGCGCCCUGUAAUGGAUUCACCCUUAGACAGGGGCCUGUGCCUUGGAAAGAAUCACAGUUCAAGUGGCAUCUGGUGAGCUCUCACAGGCCCUUGAAAAUCUAGGAGAGAGGGUGUAAAUCUCACACUGGGCUGUAACCAUAUCCACAGCAGGUCUCCAAGGUAAACAACCUCUGGCAUGUUAGAACAACAUAGGUAAGGGAAAUCAGCAAGCUAGAUCAGUAACCUCAGGGUAAGAAUUUGCUCUAAGAGCUUUGCCAGUCCGGCUGCGGCUUGAAGCGGGGCUGGGUGCAGGCAUUGGUUGGAUGAAGUGCUGGUACUCCACGCCCCAACGCUAGCAGCACCCCUCUGCAGACAUCCCCCAGCCCACCUCGCCAUACCUUCCUCUUCACUAUCCCUCCCUACCUCACUAUUGCUGGUUCCUGGCGGCCCAUUUAGAAAUGAUGCAGACCACGGGAAUCUGACUAUAUAAAACAAAGCAUGGUGAAGGCCCGUGGUGGGUGUUGACACAAUGUCAAUUCUACCCAGUGCUCUGAAUGUCAAAGUGAAGAAAUUCAAUGAAGCACGAGUAAAUGGCGGGAGUAACUAUGUCUCUCUUAAGUGUAGCCAAAUGCCUCAUCAUCUAAUUAGUGAUGCACAUGAAUGGAUGGGCAAGAUUCCCACUGUUCUUACCUGCUAUCCAGCGAAACCACAGCCAAAGGAAUGGGCUUGACAGAAUCAGCAGGGAACGAAGACCCUAUUGAGACUGACUCUAGUCUGGCACGAUGAAGAGACAUGAGAGGUGUAGAAUAAGUGAAAGACCCCUGCACCCCUCUGUUUCUCUGAGGAGAUGGGGUGAGGUCCACUGACCUUGUGGGCUGCCAGUGAAAUCCCACUACCCUGAUCAUUUUUUCACUGACCUGGUGAAGUUGGGGCUGGGUAGGUGAGCCACAAGGGGCCCACACUUUUGGCACCAAGCACCUGGCCACAUGCUGGCUGGAUGUUAACUGCUCCAGGAAUAGUGCCAGGUGCAGAGUUGGACUGGUGCUGCACACCUGUCAAACGGUAAUGCAGGUGUCUGAAGGUGAGUGCAGGGAGUACCAAAACCUCCCAUGGAGCAGAAGGGCAGAAGUUGCUUGAUCUUGAUUUUCAGUACGAAAGCAGGGCCUCAUGAUCCUUUUGAUGUUUUGUUUGAGUUUUAAGCAGGACGUGUCAGAGAAGACACCACAGGGAUAACUGCCUUGUAGUGGCCAAGAGUUCAUAGCAACAUUGCUUUUUGAUCCUUUGGUGCUGGAUCUUCCUAUUGUGAAGCAGAAUUCACCAAGCAUUGGAUGGUUCACCCAGUAACAAGGAACCUGAGCUUAGUUUAGAACAUCAUGAGACAGGUUAGUUUUACACAACAGUCUUUUAAACAAGGGUCUUCCCAUCUCAGUCUCACGAGUACCUGGGACUACUGGGACCUUCUUCUUCUGUAUUUUUUCUAACCACCAUUUCAGUUUGUUUCCACAAUACUUAGAGUAACUUGCUGUGAUUUUUCAUUGUUCUUUUCUCUCUCCAUUCUCAUAUGCUCCUUCCUACACACUGAAGUUGACCUUUGGUUUAUUUUUUGUCAUAGUUCACACUGGUUAUGACACACACACACACACACACAAAGUGAGAGAGAGAGAGACAGGAGUUGUCAAUUGUGAUAUUAAAUAUCUUUUAUUAUUAUUAACUUCUGCUUAAUUAUUUCAUCUUUAAGAUUGUUGUUUGAUAUUGUUAUAUACUUACUUUUGGU